rnacentral:tRNA from 1 species
ACCUGGGUGGCUCAGUCGGUUGAGCGUCCGACUUCAGAUCAGGUCGUGAGCUUACGGUUUGUGAGUUCCAGCCCCGCCUCGGGCU